rfam:Salmo salar isolate Sally breed double haploid chromosome ssa19, whole genome shotgun sequence.
UGCAUUCACUACUGUAAGUCGCUCUGUAUAAGAGCGUCUUCUAAAUGACAAAAA